rnacentral:rRNA from 1 species
GACGAACGCUGGCGGCGUGCUUAACACAUGCAAGUCGAGCGGUAAGGCCCUUUCGGGGGUACACGAGCGGCGAACGGGUGAGUAACACGUGGGUGACCUGCCCUCAGCUCUGGGAUAAGCCUGGGAAACCGGGUCUAAUACCGGAUAUGACUCCAUGACGCAUGUUGUGGGGUGGAAAGCCUUGUGCGGCUGAGGAUGGGCCCGCGGCCUAUCAGCUUGUUGGUGGGGUGAUGGCCUACCAAGGCGACGAUCGGUAGCUGGUCUUAGAGGAUGAUCAGCCAGACUGGGACUGAGACACGGCCCAGACUCCUACGGGAGGCAGCAGUUAGGAAUUUUGGGCAAUGGGCGCAAGCCUGACCCAGCAACGCCGCGUGGGUGACGAAGGCCU